UGUUCUUUGAGGAGCAGGUCGGGAUUUUCCCCGCCUCGCUAUUUCGUGAUCAAUAUAUGCAUCAAGCUAACCCUAAUCUCGUUAUAGAAGAAAAUUCUUUUAUAAUUCUUGUAGCCGUCGUUACCUACGUUUUUCCUUCACCGUGAAGGCGAUCUACCCACCCUAUCGGGAAGGCAAGAAAAAGUGGGGCAUAUGGAGAAAAAUUCCUUCAAGCUCCAGCAUUCUCUGGAAAGCAGGCAGGAAGAGGCUAUCCGGAUCAGGGAGAAGUAUCCUGAUAGAGUUCCUGUGAUCAUGGAGAAAGCUGAGAGGAGCAACAUACCAGAAAUUGAAAAGAAGAAGUAUCUUGUCCCUGCUGAUAUAACCCUUGGACAGUUUGCCUACAUCAUUCGAACGAGGAUCAAGCUUAGUGCUGAGAAGGCCAUAUUCAUCUUUGUAAAGAACACUUUACCGUCCACAGCUGCGAUAAUGUCUGCAAUUUAUGAGGAGAAUAAAGAUGAAGAUGGUUUUCUUUACAUGGCUUACAGUGGAGAGAACACGUUUGGGUCCUUCUAAAUCUUGGAGGAACGAACUUAAGUCUCUGUAAAUGCCAUUGAUCCAAAAAAGAGCAUGGGCAUGUUUAUGCACAUGGAAAUGAAGAAUCCAGCAGUAAUUUUUCCCCAUUUUGGGCAUGUUAGUAUCUAUUUUUUAUAUAAGUAAUCAUGUGUUAUCAUGAUUUGGUGGCUUGGGUAUCUAUGUUGGAAAAUAUAUGAAUAAUUUAUUAAUAUCUUGUAUGC